CUGGCGGCGUGCCUAAUACAUGCAAGUCGAGCGGAUCUUCAUUAGCUUGCUUUUGAAGAUCAGCGGCGGACGGGUGAGUAACACGUGGGCAACCUGCCUGUAAGACUGGGAUAACUUCGGGAAACCGGAGCUAAUACCGGAUAAUCCAUUCCCUCACAUGAGGGAAU
rnacentral:rRNA from 1 species